UACGUAGGUGGCAAGCGUUGUCCGGAUUUACUGGGCGUAAAGAGCGCGCAGGCGGUCGUUCAAGUCGCGUGUGAAAGCCCCCGGCUCAACUGGGGAGGGUCACGCGAUACUGAUCGACUCGAAGGCAGGAGAGGGUAGUGGAAUUCCCGGUGUAGUGGUGAAAUGCGUAGAUAUCGGGGAGGAACACCAGUGGCGAAGGCGACUACCUGGCUGUUCUUGACGCUGAGGCGCGAAAGCAUGGGGAGCGAACAGG
rnacentral:rRNA from 1 species